rnacentral:rRNA from 1 species
AACGAACGCUGGCGGCAUGCCUAACACAUGCAAGUCGAACGAGACCUUCGGGUCUAGUGGCGCACGGGUGCGUAACGCGUGGGAACCUGCCCUUAGGUUCGGAAUAACUCCCCGAAAGGGGUGCUAAUACCGGAUAAUGUCUUCGGACCAAAGAUUUAUCGCCCUUGGAUGGGCCCGCGUUGGAUUAGCUAGUUGGUAGGGUAAAAGCCUACCAAGGCGACGAUCCAUAGCUGGUCUGAGAGGAUGGUCAGCCACACUGGGAGUAAGACACGGCCCCGACUACUACGGGAGGGAGCAGAGGGGAAUAUUGGAAAAUGGGCCAAGUCCUGAUCCAGCAAUGCCGCGUGAGUGAUGAAGGCCUUAGGGUUGUAAAGCUCUUUUACCCGGGAUGAUAAUGACAGUACCGGCAGAAUAAGCACCGGCUAACUCCGUG